rnacentral:rRNA from 1 species
GCUUCUUUUUCCACCGGAGCUUGCUCCACCGGAAAAAGAAGAGUGGCGAACGGGUGAGUAACACGUGGGUAACCUGCCCAUCAGAAGGGGAUAACACUUGGAAACAGGUGCUAAUACCGUAUAACAAUCAAAACCGCAUGGUUUUGAUUUGAAAGGCGCUUUCGGGUGUCGCUGAUGGAUGGACCCGCGGUGCAUUAGCUAGUUGGUGAGGUAACGGCUCACCAAGGCCACGAUGCAUAGCCGACCUGAGAGGGUGAUCGGCCACAUUGGGACUGAGACACGGCCCAAACUCCUACGGGAGGCAGCAGUAGGGAAUCUUCGGCAAUGGACGAAAGUCUGACCGAGCAACGCCGCGUGAGUGAAGAAGGUUUUCGGAUCGUAAAACUCUGUUGUUAGAGAAGAACAAGGAUGAGAGUAACUGUUCAUCCCUUGACGGUAUCUAACCAGAAAGCCACGGCUAACUACGUGCCAGCAGCCGCGGUAAUACGUAGGUGGCAAGCGUUGUCCGGAUUUAUUGGGCGUAAAGCGAGCGCAGGCGGUUUCUUAAGUCUGAUGUGAAAGCCCCCGGCUCAACCGGGGAGGGUCAUUGGAAACUGGGAGACUUGAGUGCAGAAGAGGAGAGUGGAAUUCCAUGUGUAGCGGUGAAAUGCGUAGAUAUAUGGAGGAACACCAGUGGCGAAGGCGGCUCUCUGGUCUGUAACUGACGCUGANGCUCGAAAGCGUGGGGAGCAAACAGGAUUAGAUACCCUGGUAGUCCACGCCGUAAACGAUGAGUGCUAAGUGUUGGAGGGUUUCCGCCCUUCAGUGCUGCAGCUAACGCAUUAAGCACUCCGCCUGGGAGUACGACCGCAAGGUUGAAACUCAAAGGAAUUGACGGGGGCCCGCACAAGCGGUGGAGCAUGUGGUUUAAUUCGAAGCACGCGANAACCUUACCAGGUCUUGACAUCCUUUGAUCACUCUAGAGAUAGAGCUUCCCCUUCGGGGGCAAAGUGACAGGUGUGC